AGAGUUUGAUCCUGGCUCAGGAUGAACGCUGGCGGCAUGCCUAAUACAUGCAAGUCGAACGAGGGUCCUUCGGGACUCGAGUGGCGAACGGGUGAGUAACACGUAGGGAACCUGCCCGUGCGACCGGGAGAACUUUCGGAAACGGAAGCUGAUACCGGAUAGGGACAGAGACGGCAUCGACUCUGUGUUAAAGGAGCUGAAAGGCUCCGCGCACGGAUGGACCUGCGGUGCAUUAGCUGGUUGGUGAGGUAACGGCCCACCAAGGCGACGAUGCAUAGCCGGCCUGAGAGGGCGGACGGCCACACUGGGACUGAGACACGGCCCAGACUCCUACGGGAGGCAGCAGUAGGGAAUUUUCGUCAAUGGGCGCAAGCCUGAACGAGCAAUGCCGCGUGAACGAGGAAGGUCUUCGGAUCGUAAAGUUCUGUUGAAGGGGAAAAAGAGCGGAGAGAGGAAAUGGUCUCCGAUUGAUAUUACCCUUCGAGGAAGUCACGGCUAACUACGUGCCAGCAGCCGCGGUAAUACGUAGGUGGCGAGCGUUAUCCGGAAUGAUUGGGCGUAAAGGGUGCGUAGGCGGCCUGCUAAGUCUGGAGUGAAAGGUACCGGCUCAACCGGUAUAGGCUCUGGAAACUGGCGGGCUAGAGAGCAGGAGAGGGCGGUGGAACUCCAUGUGUAGCGGUAAAAUGCGUAGAUAUAUGGAAGAACACCAGUGGCGAAGGCGGCCGCCUGGCCUGUUACUGACGCUGAGGCACGAAAGCGUGGGGAGCAAAUAGGAUUAGAUACCCUAGUAGUCCACGCCGUAAACGAUGAGGACCAAGUGUUGGGGAAGACCCAGUGCUGCAGUUAACGCAGUGAGUCCUCCGCCUGGGGAGUAUGCACGCAAGUGUGAAACUCAAAGGAAUUGACGGGGGCCCGCACAAGCGGUGGAGUAUGUGGUUUAAUUCGAAGCAACGCGAAGAACCUUACCAGGCCUUGACAUAGGGUGCGAAGGUAUAGAGAUAUACUGGAGGUAAACAUCCAUACAGGUGGUGCAUGGUUGUCGUCAGCUCGUGUCGUGAGAUGUUCAGUUAAGUCUGGCAACGAGCGCAACCCUCGUGAUGUGUUACCAAUAUCGAGUUAGGGACUCACAUCAGACUGCCGGUGAGAAACCGGAGGAAGGCGGGGAUGACGUCAAAUCAUCAUGCCCCUUAUGGCCUGGGCUACACACGUACUACAAUGGCGGCGACAGAGGGCAGCGAGCCUGCGAAGGCAAGCGAAUCCCCAAAAAGCCGUCCCAGUUCGGAUUGGAGUCUGCAACCCGACUCCAUGAAGUUGGAAUCGCUAGUAAUCGCGGAUCAGCAUGCCGCGGUGAAUACGUUCUCGGGCCUUGCACACACCGCCCG
rnacentral:rRNA from 1 species